ACACUGCUCUAUCUGCUGCAGAUUGCACCAACCAUACACAGACACAUUUUCUUGUUAGAUAGUUUUUUUUUCUUUGCUGAGCAGAAAUAAAAUCCACACAGCCAACUUAAAAUGUAGAUUAUUUUAUGGAUUCCAGAGAUUUGAAUUGGUAGCUGUGUCUCUAGUGCACAUCUGUAAUAUAUGAGAAGAGAAACGGGACAUCCGCUUUUGAGGCCUAUUAAACAUUUAGGGUCCAGUCUCCCCAGGAUAAUGGCCUCUUGUGUCCUCUGACUGACUGGUUAAUGACCCGUGAGCCUCAUGCAGCAGAAAAAGAUUAUCCGACAGCCAUGGUUGACUGAUUCUCGAUCUCCAUGCGGCUUUUGAGCUGAUGUAGCAAUAAGACUGAAAAUAAAACGCACCAGGUUUGGCAGCUGCUCCCGUCUGUCGGCCUCCCUGUGCUGCCGCUGCUCUCUCUCCUGAUCCUGCUGCAGCCUCUGCUCCCUCUCCUUCAGCCCCUUGUCUCUCUGGAGCUGCAGGG